rnacentral:rRNA from 1 species
UCNGUAGACGAACAACGAGAGAUCAGGACAGUCGAGUGCGCGACCACAGGUAUGGAACUGGCUAUUCUGAUUCCUCCCUCUGGAAGAACAGAGAUGCCAUUAAUUUGGUGUUGCAGGGAAUCAGGACUGUAUACUUUGAAAAAAUUAGAGUGUUUAAAGCAGGCUUUAGCUAGAAUACAUUAGCAUGGAAUAAUGAAAUAGGACGUUUGAUCCUAUUUUGUUGGUUUCUAGGAUUGACGUAAUGAUUAAUAGGGAUAGUUGGGGGCAUUAGUAUUCAAUUGUCAGAGGUGAAAUUCUUGGAUUUAUUGAAGACUAACUACUGCGAAAGCAUUUGCCAAGGAUGUUUUCAUUAAUCAAGAACGAAAGUUAGGGGAUCGAAGACGAUCAGAUACCGUCGUAGUCUUAACCAUAAACUAUGCCGACUAGGGAUCGGAUGAUGUUAAUUUUUUAAUGACUCA